rnacentral:rRNA from 1 species
UAUCUCUGUAGAGUCUGCAUAUCAAUAAGCGGAGGAAAAGAAACUAACUAGGAUUCCCUCAGUAACGGCGAGUGAAGCGGGAAGAGCUCAAAUUUGAAAUCUUCAAGGUUCUACCUUGACGAAUUGUAGUUUAAAGAAGUGUUUUCUGUUGAGUGUUUUGGUAAAAGUUCUUUGGAAUAGGACAUCAUAGAGGGUGAGAAUCCCGUAUUUGACCAUUUACUUUCAGCGUUGUGAUACACUUUCAAAGAGUCGGAUUGUUUGGGAAUGCAGUCCAAAAUGGGUGGUAAAUUUCAUCUAAAGCUAAAUAUUGGCGAGAGACCGAUAGCGAACAAGUACCGUGAGGGAAAGAUGAAAAGAACUUUGAAAAGAGAGUUAAACAGUACGUGAAAUUGUCAAAAGGGAAGCGUUUGACACCAGUGUUGUUUUCUCGAAAAUCAAUUAAAAAAAGUUGGAUUUUGUAUUGUUAAGACCUUAUCAGCUUACUGUACUCUUUUCUUGCUUUUUUUAAUGCACUUUUCGUUUAACAAGUCAACAUCAAUUUCUUUUGAUGUAAAAGAGUCAUUGGAAGGUGGCUUUCACUUCGGUGAAAGUGUUUAUAGCCUUUGGCUUCUGCAAUCGGAGAGAUUGAGGUCCGCAGCGUAGAUCCUUCGGGGCUAGAUACGUAGAUGCUAAGUUAUAGUUUUUUAUAGACAACUUGUUGACUAUAAUUAAUCAUGUAGCUUACUCGUUUGCGCUAUUUUACCUACGCUUAGGAUGUUGAAGAUGUAGCACAUCAU